AUCCAUCUGAAGAAUCUCAAAUAGGAUGAAACGCGCGUCAAACUGAAU
rnacentral:hammerhead_ribozyme from 1 species